AACUGAAGAUGUGCCCACCAACUAAGGACUGGACUGGGGGACCACUGGAAAACUGUCCCUGCAGGAACAGAAAAGGACAAUGGGAUGGAUCUGUUCACGGAGGGGAAGUAGGCCACUGCUAGGAAGCCUGACAGGGAACCCGAAGCAGGGAGGGAUCCCAGGAGAAGCCCAGCUACCACUUGGCUCCCACAAAAUGGUCACCUUGAGACUCUUUAUAGAAGAGGAGAAAAUACCACCACCACCACCACCACCACCACCAUUUAAUAACCCUGCCCUAAAUGUGGAGAAAGCAACCACCCACCCCCAAAGGAAACUCCGACAGGGUACAUGUAUACUACAUACAGCAUUGAUCAAGUAAUUUGCAUCAAUAAGUGAUGUUGUACUUUUGACUGGAGAAGCAGCUCCCCCACCGUUUGAGGGAAAUAGUCUUACCCCACCCCCAGGACCCCUCAAGAAAAGGUUUCAAUGGCUUCACAUAAGACAAUACCAUCGUGACAGAGAGCAGUGAUCUUCAGCCUCCACGUCUGCUGUGUUUACUUCCUGGAAAAUAACGGAAUGCCAGUGUACUCCAAAUGGAAGUAUGGGAUCAGGUCCAUACAGGAUUAGGUGCCCAUGCAGGGGAGUAGCAGAGUAUUACCACUUCACACUGGUAGCAGACUGGGGAACAAGUAUGGGUGUGGAUUUACAGAGUAUUAAACAAAAGAGAGUGGCGUACGAUAGGCCAGACAUGGAUACAGGGUUCCUCCUGCAGGAAAUGUGAUUUAACAUGUUGCCUUGAGAACUGAGAAUGGUCAUAAUAAUGACUCAGUGGCUGCCUUCAGUCAACUAGGUUGAAAUACCAGAGCUUCCCUGACUUUCUCAGGGAAGGAAGACUCCAAGGUCCGAGGGAGAUGGGAAUGGGGACCUGUUGUGUGCACACCUGCUCGUUUACCACAAAGUUGGUGGCUUAUGAGAACAAAAUCAUGUUCUCUCAUGGUUCUGGAGGCCAGGAACCCAAAAUUCAUUUCACAGAGACUAAGGUGUCAGCAGGGCUGUACUCCCUCUGGAGAUCCCAGGGCUCCAGGGAACAGUGUAUCCCUUCCCUCUGGUAGCUCCCGGUGGCCACCAACCUCCCUUGGCUUGUGCCCACAUCACCCCAGUCUGUUUCCAUGGACACAGUGCCUCCUCUUUUGUCAAGUCUCCCUUUGCUUCUCUAAGGGUGCUUGUGAUUCCAUGUGGGGCUCACUCGGAAAACCCAGGACUCAAGAUCCUUAACCUAGAUCCCAUUGAUGGGAGUUAGAU